UGGGGAAUUUUGGACAAUGGGGGAAACCCUGAUCCAGCCAUCCCGCGUGUGCGAUGAAGGCCUUCGGGUUGUAAAGCACCUUUGGCAGGAAAGAAACGUCAUGGGUUAAUACCCCGUGAAACUGACGGUACCUGCAGAAUAAGCACCGGCUAACUACGUGCCAGCAGCCGCGGUAAUACGUAGGGUGCAAGCGUUAAUCGGAAUUACUGGGCGUAAAGCGUGCGCAGGCGGUUCGGAAAGAAAGAUGUGAAAUCCCAGAGCUAAACUUUGGAACUGCAUUUUUAACUACCGGGCUAGAGUGUGUCAGAGGGAGGUGGAAUUCCGCGUGUAGCAGUGAAAUGCGUAGAUAUGCGGAGGAACACCGAUGGCGAAGGCAGCCUCCUGGGAUAACACUGACGCUCAUGCACGAAAGCGUGGGGAGCAAACAGG
rnacentral:rRNA from 1 species